UACGAAGGGGGCUAGCGUUGCUCGGAAUCACUGGGCGUAAAGCGCACGUAGGCGGAUUGCUAAGUCAGGGGUGAAAUCCUGGAGCUCAACUCCAGAACUGCCCUUGAUACUGGCGGUCUCGAGUCCGGGAGAGGUGAGUGGAACUGCGAGUGUAGAGGUGAAAUUCGUAGAUAUUCGCAAGAACACCAGUGGCGAAGGCGGCCA
rnacentral:rRNA from 1 species